GCAUAAUUGUGCGAGAGCUUGGCCGACGACUCUCCAUCUCGUUCUCUCCCUUUCUUUCUCUCUCUCUCUCUCUCUCUCUCUCUCUCUCUCUCUCUCUCUCUUUCUCUAUCUUUCUCUCUCUUUUCGUAGGUGAACGAUGACGACGCGAAGAGGACAACGACGACGACGACGACAACGACGACGACCACGACGACGACGACGACGACGACGACGACGACGACGACGACGACGACGACGACGACGAUGCUGGUGAUAUCCGACUUGGUGACACGUAACGAGCCUUCUAAUGGCUUCGCAAACACGAGCCGCGAUCUGCUCAUAGAUCCAACCAAACAAGGCACGGUCAAGGUUAUCUAAUUGCGAAGAAACUCAAAGCACGAAAAUAUACUCGUCUCGCGAUCUCUGGAACGAUGAAUUAUCGAGCCGUCUCGAUGCGUUCUCCGAUCGAUCGUUUCCUCCUUCGAUCGAUUCUCUCGUGGAUGGAAUACAAAGAAAGAAAAGGAAAAAAAAUAAAGAAAGAAAAAGAAAACGAAAUAAAAAAGUG